GGUGAAAAGUGGCAUUGUGUCAGGCAGGCGUAAUGGUGCUUCGCGGUCAUCUGUCGUGACGCCCUGUCAUCGGCUCCCCCGGCCGGCAGUUAAGUCCCUAAAGCUCGCCAAGCUGUGACCCAUUGGUCAACAUCGAGUAUCCUGUAGCCUUUUAUUCCCAGUGCCAUACUUGGUAAUUUCUUGAAGUUCACACCUUUCGGUAAGGCAUCUAGGCCAAGCGACUGUCAAAAUAGGCAUCCGACUGUCAUCACUAUUAUCUCCCUGUGCUGCCAAGAUUCUC
rnacentral:lncRNA from 1 species